GACAUCGGAGCUACCAUGCAAGUCGAGGGGUAACAGGGAGCUUGCUCCGCUGACGACCGGCGCACGGGUGCGUAACGCGUAUAGAACUUACCUUUUACAGAGGGAUAGCCUUUAGAAAUGAAGAUUAAUACCUCAUAGUAUUGAGACUUGGCAUCAAGACUUAAUUAAAGAUUUAUCGGUAAAAGAUGGCUAUGCGUCCUAUUAGCUAGAUGGUAAGGUAACGGCUUACCAUGGCAACGAUAGGUAGGGGUCCUGAGAGGGAGAUCCCCCACACUGGUACUGAGACACGGACCAGACUCCUACGGGAGGCAGCAGUGAGGAAUAUUGGGCAAUGGAGGCAACUCUGACCCAGCCAUGCCGCGUGCAGGAAGACGGCCCUAUGGGUUGUAAACUGCUUUUAUACAGGAAGAAACACUGCUACGUGUAGCAGCUUGACGGUACUGUAAGAAUAAGGACCGGCUAACUCCGUGCCAGCAGCCGCGGUAAUACGGAGGGUCCGAGCGUUAUCCGGAAUCAUUGGGUUUAAAGGGUCCGCAGGCGGUCGAUUAAGUCAGAGGUGAAAUACCAUAGCUCAACUAUGGAACUGCCUUUGAUACUGGUUGACUUGAGUCAUAUGGAAGUAGAUAGAAUGUGUAGUGUAGCGGUGAAAUGCAUAGAUAUUACACAGAAUACCGAUUGCGAAGGCAGUCUACUACGUAUGUACUGACGCUGAGGGACGAAAGCGUGGGGAGCGAACAGGAUUAGAUACCCUGGUAGUCCACGCCGUAAACGAUGGAUACUAGUUGUUGGGCAUUAGCUCAGUGACUAAGCGAAAGUGAUAAGUAUCCCACCUGGGGAGUACGGUCGCAAGACUGAAACUCAAAGGAAUUGACGGGGGCCCGCACAAGCGGUGGAGCAUGUGGUUUAAUUCGAUGAUACGCGAGGAACCUUACCAGGGCUUAAAUGUAGUCUGACAGCUUUAGAGAUAGAGUUUUCUUCGGACAGAUUACAAGGUGCUGCAUGGUUGUCGUCAGCUCGUGCCGUGAAGGUGUCAGGUUAAGUCCUAUAACGAGCGCAACCCCUGUCG
rnacentral:rRNA from 2 species